GACGAACGCUGGCGGCGUGCCUAAUACAUGCAAGUAGAACGCACAGUUUAUACCGUAGCUUGCUACACCAUAGACUGUGAGUUGCGAACGGGUGAGUAACGCGUAGGUAACCUGCCUGGUAGCGGGGGAUAACUAUUGGAAACGAUAGCUAAUACCGCAUAAUAUUGAUUAUUGCAUGAUAAUUGAUUGAAAGAUGCUAUUGCAUCACUACCAGAUGGACCUGCGUUGUAUUAGCUAGUAGGUGAGGUAACGGCUCACCUAGGCGACGAUACAUAGCCGACCUGAGAGGGUGAUCGGCCACACUGGGACUGAGACACGGCCCAGACUCCUACGGGAGGCAGCAGUAGGGAAUCUUCGGCAAUGGACGAAAGUCUGAUCGAGCAACGCCGCGUGAGUGAAGAAGGUUUUCGGAUCGUAAAGCUCUGUUGUAAGAGAAGAACGGGUGUGAGAGUGGAAAGUUCACACUGUGACGGUAUCUUACCAGAAAGGGACGGCUAACUACGUG
rnacentral:rRNA from 1 species